UGGGGAAUAUUGCACAAUGGAGGGAACUCUGAUGCAGCGACGCCGCGUGAGUGAUGAAGGAAUUCGUUUCGUAAAACUCUGUUCUAUGGGAAGAAAAGGACUGUACCAUAGGAGAAAGCUCCGGCUAAAUACGUGCCAGCAGCCGCGGUAAUACGUAUGGAGCGAGCGUUGUCCGGAAUUAUUGGGCGUAAAGGGUGCGCAGGCGGCUUUACAAGUUGGAUGUGAAAUAUUGUGGCUCAACCACAAACGUGCAUCCAAAACUGCAAAGCUUGAGUUAAGGAGAGGUAAGUGGCAUUCCUGGUGUAGCGGUGGAAUGCGUAGAUAUCAGGAGGAAUAACGGUGGCGAAGGCGACUUACUGGACUUAAACAGACGCUCAGGCACGAAAGCGUGGGGAGCAAACAGG
rnacentral:rRNA from 1 species